UCUUUAUAUUAAUUUUAAAUUAUACUUAAUUUAUUGAAUUAAUAUUUAAUUGGGGUGAUUUUAAAAUUUAAUAAACUUUUUUUAUAAAUUAACAAAAAUUUUUGAAUAAAUAUUAAUAAUUGAUCCUUUAUUAAAGAUUAUAAGAAUAAGU
rnacentral:rRNA from 1 species